AACGAACGCUGGCGGCAGGCCUAACACAUGCAAGUCGAGCGGACAUCUUCGGAUGUUAGCGGCGGACGGGUGAGUAACGCGUGGGAACGUGCCCUUUGCUUCGGAAUAGCCUCGGGAAACUGGGAGUAAUACCGGAUGUACCCUUUGGGGGAAAGAUUUAUCGGCAAAGGAUCGGCCCGCGUUGGAUUAGGUAGUUGGUGGGGAAUGGCCUACCAAGCCGACGAUCCAUAGCUGGUUUGAGAGGAUGAUCAGCCACACUGGGACUGAGACACGGCCCAGACUCCUACGGGAGGCAGCAGUGGGGAAUCUUAGACAAUGGGGGAAACCCUGAUCUAGCCAUGCCGCGUGAGCGAUGAAGGCCUUAGGGUUGUAAAGCUCUUUCACCGGGGAAGAUAAUGACGGUACCCGGAGAAGAAGCCCCGGCUAACUCCGUG
rnacentral:rRNA from 1 species